rnacentral:rRNA from 1 species
AACGUAGGAGGCGAACGUUAUCCGGAGUUACUGGGCGUAAAGGGCGUGUAGGCGGUAUGUUAAGUCUGGCGUGAAAGCUCUCGGCUAAACCGGGAGAGGUCGUUGGAUACUGGCACACUUGAGGAUGGGUAGAGGCGUGUGGAAUUCCGGGUGUAGUGGUGAAAUGCGUAGAGAUCGGCAGGAACACCCAGGGAGAAAUCAGCCGCCUGGGCAAGUGCUGACGCUGAGGUGCGAAAGCGUGGGGAGCGAACCGG